rnacentral:misc_RNA from 1 species
GCCCCGUGGGCUCCCUGCCUCCGCGCAGCCGACCGCCGGGGCGGCCGUCCCUCCAGUCCCUCGCUUGUUCGUGCCUUCGGGCCUUCGAGCGGUGCGCGCUGCCUGUGCCAUCUACCCGGUCCCUCGGGAAGCCGACGCGACCCACACGCCAGUCCGCCCCCCUCCCGGCCUCGUCGGUCGAGGGGCGGCCGCGGCGCGGGCGUCGCGCGCCCCCGGACAUAGCGGCCGUCAGGCCCCCGUCUCGGUCGGGCUCCCGACUUCCCGCGAGCGCUCUCGGAUGCGGCGGAUGCCGCGGGCUUCGGGGANUUCGUUUCCUCAGACCCGGACCUCGGUCGGUCGUCGAGCCGCCCUNGUCGAGACGACGGCCGGCCCGCCGUCGGGCCCCUUCCGCCCCCCGCGGGCGGNCGGGCGCCCCGGCGGCGGCGCCGGCGUGGCGGAGGACGCGCUACA